rnacentral:rRNA from 1 species
UACGAAGGGGGGCUAGCGUUGUUCGGAAUUACUGGGCGUAAAGCGCACGUAGGCGGAUACUUAAGUUAGGGGUGAAAUCCCGGGGCUCAACCCCGGAACUGCCUUUGAUACUGGGUAUCUGGAGUCCGAGAGAGGUGAGUGGAAUUCCGAGUGUAGAGGUGAAAUUCGUAGAUAUUCGCAAGAACACCAGUGGCGAAGGCGGACUCACUGGCCCGGUACUGACGCUGAGGCACGAAAGCGUGGGGAGCAAACAGG